rnacentral:misc_RNA from 1 species
GAUGAAGAACGCAGCGAAAUGCGAUAAGUAAUGUGAAUUGCAGAAUUCAGUGAAUCAUCGAAUCUUUGAACGCACAUUGCGCCCGCCAGCAUUCUGGCGGGCAUGCCUGUUCGAGCGUCAUUUCAACCCUCGAGCCCCCCCGGGGGCCUCGGUGUUGGGGGACGGCACACCAGCCGCCCCCGAAAUGCAGUGGCGACCCCGCCGCAGCCUCCCCUGCGUAGUAGCACACACCUCGCACCGGAGCGCGGAGGCGGUCACGCCGUAAAACGCCCAACUUUCUUAGAGUUGACCUCGGAUCAGGUAGGAAUACCCACUGAACUUAAGCAUAUCAAUAAGCGGAGGA